rnacentral:tRNA from 1 species
GCAGACGUAGUCAAGUGGACCAAGGCAGUGAAUUGUGAAUCCACCAUGCACGGGUUCAAUUCCCAUCAUUCUCC